rnacentral:rRNA from 1 species
UACGUAGGUGGCGAGCGUUGUCCGGAAUUACUGGGUGUAAAGGGCGAGUAGGCGGGGCUGCAAGUCAGGUGUGAAAUUUAUGGGCUCAACCCAUAAACUGCAUUUGAAACUGCGGUUCUUGAGUGAUGGAGAGGCAGGCGGAAUUCCUAGUGUAGCGGUGAAAUGCGUAGAUAUUAGGAGGAACACCAGUGGCGAAGGCGGCCUGCUGGACAUUAACUGACGCUGAGGCGCGAAAGCGUGGGGAGCAAACAGGAUUAGAUACCCUGGUAGUCCACGCUGUAAACGAUGGAUACUAGGUGUGGGGGGUACUGACCCCCCCCGUGCCGGAGUUAACACAAUAAGUAUCCCACCUGGGGAGUACGGCCGCAAGGUUGAA